UUCGUAGGCGGUUAUUUAAGUCAGGUGUGAAAGGCAUAGGCUCAACCUGUGUAAGCACUUGAAACUGAAUGACUUGAGUUAAGGAGAGGAAAGUGGAAUUCCUAGUGUAGCGGUGAAAUGCGUAGAUAUUAGGAGGAAUACCAGUGGCGAAGGCGACUUUCUGGACUUAUACUGACGCUGAGGAACGAAAGCGUGGGGAGCAAACA
rnacentral:rRNA from 1 species